UAAAUGCUAUCUGCAUAACAUCUAAUUAUUUGAAAUGGCACCGAGAAUUAACAACAUAUUAAAAGUAAUGAAUACAUGUUAAACCCAAUACAGUAAAUGACUUACCGGAUUUUGACCAAGCCUUUAUCCCUUUUACUCUAACGAACUCUCCUUUCCAAAACCAGAUUAAAAUACCCUAAAAGCCUUAAUAAUAUCCUAAACACUUUUGAAUGUUCUUGGGCGAUUUUUCCUAAAAUUCAACAAACCAACAUGACUUCUAAAAUCUCAAACAUCAAUCCUACCCUAAAUCGAAUCCCAGAUGUAAUUCUAAUGUUAAAUGAACAACAAUUGGAAUAGAUCAGAACUGCACGGCGAUGAAAAACAAACUUUUCGCAGUUCAAACAUAAAUUCUAGAUGUGCGUCUCAAACCCUCUUAAACUUGGAAUCGACCUUCAUAUACUUCUCUCCAAAGAUGAUCAAUUACACAACAAAUCGGAAGGAAAAUAAAGCAACGGGUAUCACUACAAAUCAAAAUGAAAUCAAACGCCCAAAGAGUUAUGAGUUUACACAAAGACAGAAUUUAAACCAACCGGAUCCGCAGUGAAUAAGAGUAACGACGCUCUAGGAAGGAUUCCCUGCUUCAGUCAUCAAAUGGUUCUUAUAUAGAAUUCUUGUACGAGGUUCAUCCGUCCUUAUCCUUCAUGAGCUGGCAAAUCUUGGAUAGGAUCAAUCCGUUAAAGGGAAUUUUCGCUGGAUUUCGUGGUCCUCCCUUUUGACGUGGUCCCCAAAAUGAAGAGUAUGGCGCGCUUAAGUUGUAAGCUUGGAUUGGCAAGUGACUUAUGGGGUUUAGAAUGAAUGAGAAUGGUCAUGGAGAAAUAUCCGCAUGGAUUCAACCUUAAGCACACCGUAAUUAAAUGUCAUGCAACAAUCGUCCUUGAGGCUUACUCUGGAUCCAACCUUAAACAGGGGUUUUGGGACUUAUUUAAGGUACGUCAUGAGUGAAAGGUGGGAUCCUGAGCAACAUUUCUAUGUGUAGGCUGCAGGUCUUGUGCUGCAAUCUUGUGGCAGGUGCAGUUUUGGUUUGUUUUGGAUGUUUCAAGUGAAAAAUUACCUAACUGAUGAAGAAUGCAACAAUGAUCGCGACUUGCUUGAAUUCAGAUCUAACCGUGAAAGUUGGUAUGCCUGUUAGUGAGUUAUGUUGUUGUGGCAACUGUUACGCAUGGGGAUGUUGAUCUUACUGUCAACUGUGUUUCAAGUGAUAUGGUAAUCUUGUCCUGAAUGGUUUCCUUUUGUUUGGCUUGCCUCAACUAGUUCUUUCUAACUGAAAAUUUGAUGUUGGAAGACUCGGUAGCACUCAUUUUGGUUGCUUUAGAUGUCAUGGUAGCCAGAGAUUUUUUUAAUGUCUCCAAUCAUCUCAUCAACUGUUAGGAAUCCCCACUCUUUCAUUGGCUUCACCAUUGUGACAGAGUCUUCCAUAUCUUCUAUGGGCGAACAUGUUUCGUGAGAACUUCUCAAUAACUUUCUUCUUAAGCUUAAUGACAUUGGGAGCUGCAUUGAGUAUGCUGUUUGGAUGAAGAACAGACCAGCAGAUGGUUCAUCCGUCACGUAUUUAAUCAUGUCUCCCGAACAUUCACUUAUCUCCACAAACCCAUCAAUAAGGGAGGAUCCAAGCAUCUUCCCGACUCAAAGACAGAGUAUUGUUCAUCACUUGCAAAUGUGUGGGCUAAGAAGUUUAUGAGGAGUUGUUACAUGUAACAGAUCAUUAAACUUUAUCCUGCAUUAACAACUUCCUAUGCGAAGCUUCCGACGUCUGCCAUAUUAUUAGGAGAUUCCUUGCCUGCUCCUGUUUUGUUGAUCAUGUUGUUGUAAUUUUGUAAGUGCAAUAUGGUCUUGGACUUAUAGUUGGAGAUGUGAAUAUGUAAUCUUGCUUGUUGCCGGCUGAACCUUGCUACAAUUUUCCGUUGUCGUGACGACAUGUUGUUGUUGUUUUACCGUUCUGCAGCUUGUGACAGUCUUUCUUCUUUUUAAAUCGCAUUCCUUUGCUUUAUCCCUUUUGGUCAUGUAAAGUUAUUAUUGCUGACAUUGUAAAAUGCACAAUAGUUGGAUUUGUAAUAACUUUUAAUUUAUUGGAAUAAACUGGCUGAGGUAAAUGAGUUGA